UACGUAGGGUGCAAGCGUUGUCCGGAAUUAUUGGGCGUAAAGAGCUCGUAGGCGGUCCGUCACGUCGGCUGUGAAAACCUGGGGCUCAACCCCGGGCCUGCAGCCGAUACGGGCGGACUAGAAUUCGGUAGGGGAGACUGGAAUUCCUGGUGUAGCGGUGAAAUGCGCAGAUAUCAGGAGGAACACCGGUGGCGAAGGCGGCAUCCUGGACCAUUACUGACGCUGAGGAGCGAAAGCCAGGGGAGCAAACGGG
rnacentral:rRNA from 1 species